rnacentral:rRNA from 1 species
UGGGGGAUAUUGCACAAUGGGGGAAACCCUGAUGCAGCGACGCCGCGUGAGUGAAGAAGCAUUUCGGUGUGUAAAGCUCUAUCAGCAGGGAAGAAGAAAUGACGGUACCUGACUAAGAAGCCCCGGCUAACUACGUGCCAGCAGCCGCGGUAAUACGUAGGGGGCAAGCGUUAUCCGGAUUUACUGGGUGUAAAGGGAGCGUAGACGGCAAUGCAAGUCCGAUGUGAAAACCCAGGGCUCAACCGUGGGAGUGCAUUGGAAACUGAAUGGCUGGAGUGCAGGAGAGGUAAGCGGAAUUCCUGG